rnacentral:rRNA from 1 species
GGGUCAGUAGGUUGGUCGUGCCACCGGUACGUACUGGUCUCACUGAUUCCUCCUUCCUGAAGAACCGUAAUGCCAUUAAUUUGGUGUUGCAGGGAAACAGGACUGUUACUUUGAAAAAAUUAGAGUGUUUAAAGCAGGCUAACGCUUGAAUACAUUAGCAUGGAAUAAUGAAAUAGGACGAUCGAUCCUAUUUUGUUGGUUUCUAGGAUUGACGUA